AAUAUACAAGUGAACAAGAGAGAGAGUUCUAUCUAUUACCUCACAUUCAACAUUCAUCUUCAUCACGUUUACAUUUUCAUCUCCCAAAAUAUAAUACAUGGUUUACAACUUCAUCUCCACAUAUAUAUAAGCAACUCUCUAAUAUAUACAUAUCAACAUCUCUAUAUACACGGGAUACUCUAAUGCAACAGGAAUGCCGCUA
rnacentral:lncRNA from 1 species